rnacentral:rRNA from 1 species
CGGACGGGUGAGUAACGCGUGAGAAUCUGCCUUCAGGUCGGGGAUAACGGCUGGAAACGUCGCUAAUACCGGAUGUGCCGAGAGGUGAAAGGUUAAAUGCCUGGGGAUGAGCUCGCGUCGGAUUAGCUAGUUGGUGGGGUAAGGGCCUACCAAGGCACGAUCCGUAGCUGGUUUGAGAGGAUGACCAGCCACACUGGGACUGAGACACGGCCCAGCUCCUACGGGAGGCAGCAGUGGGGAAUUUUCCGCAAUGGGGGGAACCCUGACGGAGCAAGCCGCGUGCGGGAGGAAGGCCUGUGGGUUGUAAACCGCUUUUCUCAAGGAAGAAGAUAUGACGGUACUUGAGGAAUCAGCAUCGGCUAACUCCGUCCAGCAGCCGCGGUAAGACGGAGGAUGCAAGCGUUAUCCGGAAUUAUUGGGCGUAAAGCUCCGCAGGUGGUUAUACAAGUCUGUCGUCAAAGCGUGGGGCUUAACUCCAUAAGGGCGGGGAAACUGUAUGACUAGAGUGAGGUAGGGGUAGAGGGAAUUCCCGGUGUAGCGGUGAAAGCGUAGAUAUCGGGAAGAACACCAGUGGCGAAAGCGCUCUACUGGGCCUUGACUGACAUGAGGGACGAAAGCUAGGGGAGCGAAAGGGAUUAGAUACCCCUGUAGU